rnacentral:rRNA from 1 species
AGGAUGAACGCUGGCGGUCUGCUUAACACAUGCAAGUCGAACGGAGUACCUCGGUACUUAGUGGCGGACGGGUGAGUAACGCGUGAGAAUCUGCCCUUAGGUCGGGGACAACCAUUGGAAACGAUGGCUAAUACCGGAUAAGCCGAGAGGUAAAAGAUUAAUUGCCUAGGGAAGAGCUCGCGUCUGAUUAGCUAGUUGGUGAGGUAAAGGCUCACCAAGGCAUCGAUCAGUAGCUGGUCUGAGAGGAUGAUCAGCCACACUGGGACUGAGACACGGCCCAGACUCCUACGGGAGGCAGCAGUGGGGAAUUUUCCGCAAUGGGCGAAAGCCUGACGGAGCAAGACCGCGUGAGGGAGGAAGGCUCUUGGGUUGUAAACCUCUUUUCUUGGGGAAGAACAAAUGACGGUACCCAAGGAUCAGCAUCGGCUAACUCCGUGCCAGCAGCCGC